GCCUCAUACUAAUAGCUUUGCCUCCAUUUUGAACUUCUGGUACUAAAGUCACGCUAAGUCUGUAUCAGGUGUGUAUUUGUUUGAAUUGAUUAGACUUACAGCGGUGUAAACUUGCCGUGUUCGUUUUUUAUUUUUUAAUUUUUUUACUGAAAUUCCGCGCACAGACGUGAACACGUUUAGGAAAGAGGGCGAGGUGACGCUCGGGCGCUUGACGUCAUCUUUUCCGCUCGGCGCGAGCUGCAGCUACGGGGAACGUUCUCGAAACGUCCGAGGGUCGCGGGAUGAGCUUUUACUGGAGAGUGGACAUUCUGUGUAAACUCUAGAGACUCUUGUGUGUGAAAAUCCCAGCUCAGCAGUUUCUGAAAUACUCAAACCAACAAUCAUGCCACAGUCUCUCAGACCACAUCUUCCCCCAUUCUCAUGCUUGAUGUGGACAUUACUUGAAGCUCUUUCAAGGCUUUCUGCAUUGUGCUGCUUCCACAUGAGUGGCUGAUUGGAUAACUGCAUGAAUGAACAGGUGUUCCUAAUAAAGUGGUCGCUCUCAGACGUAUUUCACCUUGUUCAUUGCUGAAAUGGGGAGCCAGCCAUGCUGCCUCUGAGCCAGGUCCAGGACAGGAAUGGUGGCAGCCUGCUUGUGACCCUCAGGGUAGUUUUUUAUAAUGGCUUCAACUCGCUG